rnacentral:rRNA from 1 species
GAGGGGGAUAACACUUGGAAACAGGUGCUAAUACCGCAUAACCAUAGUUACCGCAUGGUAACUAUGUAAAAGGUGGCUAUGCUACCGCUUUUGGAUGGGCCCGCGGCGCAUUAGCUAGUUGGUGGGGUAAAGGCUUACCAAGGCAAUGAUGCGUAGCCGAACUGAGAGGUUGAUCGGCCACAUUGGGACUGAGACACGGCCCAAACUCCUACGGGAGGCAGCAGUAGGGAAUCUUCCACAAUGGGCGAAAGCCUGAUGGAGCAACGCCGCGUGGGUGAAGAAGGUCUUCGGAUCGUAAAACCCUGUUGUUAGAGAAGAAAGUGCGUGAGAGUAACUGUUCACGUUUCGACGGUAUCUAACCAGAAAGCCACGGCUAACUACGUGCCAGCAGCCGCGGUAAUACGUAGGUGGCAAGCGUUAUCCGGAUUUAUUGGGCGUAAAGGGAACGCAGGCGGUCUUUUAAGUCUGAUGUGAAAGCCUUCGGCUUAACCGGAGUAGUGCAUUGGAAACUGGGAGACUUGAGUGCAGAAGAGGAGAGUGGAACUCCAUGUGUAGCGGUGAAAUGCGUAGAUAUAUGGAAGAACACCAGUGGCGAAAGCGGCUCUCUGGUCUGUAACUGACGCUGAGGUUCGAAAGCGUGGGUAGCAAACAGGAUUAGAUACCCUGGUAGUCCACGCCGUAAACGAUGAAUGCUAAGUGUUGGAGGGUUUCCGCCCUUCAGUGCUGCAG